rnacentral:rRNA from 1 species
UACGUAGGGGGGCAAGCGUUGUCCGGAAUCAUUGGGCGUAAAGCGCGCGUAGGCGGUUUGGCAAGUCGGAUGUGAAAACCAGAGGCUCAACCUCUGGCCUGCAUCCGAAACUGCCCGACUAGAGGUAGGUAGGGGGAGAUCGGAAUUCCUGGUGUAGCGGUGAAAAUGCGCAGAUAUCAGGAGGAACACCGGUGGCGAAGGCGGAUCUCUGGGCCUUACCUGACGCUGAGGCGCGAAAGCUAGGGGAGCAAACAGG